rnacentral:rRNA from 1 species
UACGAGAGGGGGCAACGUUAUUCGGAAUUAUUGGGCGUAAAGGGCGCGUAGGCGGCCAUUCAAGUGACGGGUGAAAGCCCUCGGCUUAACCGAGGAACUGCCUGUCAGACUGGAUGGCUUGAGACCGGGAGAGGUGAGUGGAAUUCCCAGUGUAGCGGUGAAAUGCGUAGAUAUCGAGAGGAACACCUGCGGCGAAGGCGGGUCUCUGGGCCGAUACUGACGCUGAGGAGCGAAAGCGUGGGGAGCGAACAGG